GGCUAGUUGUGGUAUUGCUGGAUCAAAGGGUGUUAUAAGAUAAGUUCAGAGCAGUGUUAGCUUACUGCUUUAAAAUUCUUUGUUUUGCUUUUCUAGAGAAGAAUAUUUUCACUUCUGUCUUUAAAAAGAUUUCUUUUCUGCUGGAAAGCAGUGAAGCUGCAGAAAAGGAAAACAUCAUAGCUAAAGAAACUACCACCACAAUGGAAAACCUUCCUAAUGAUGAUUUUAUUCUAGAAUGUCUCUGGAGAACCAGAAAAAUGGAAUUGAAAAGACAGGAGCUGGCCAUGCAAGCAGCCUGGGAAUGUAAAGCUCAGAAAUUUCUCACUGAAAUCAGAGAGAUACAUGCCAUGGAAAAGAAGGAAACUUCAAAAGAACAAAACAUGACUGAGAAUGAAAACAUAAUUUAUGAUGCUCCAACUCUAGCAUAUUUCCGGAGAAUCAGAAAGAAAUUGAAGCUAGGGAAGAUGAAAAGGUCAUUGAAAAGGACAAUCUUUUUUAUGAUGAUUUGACUCUGGCAUCUCACUUGAGAACCAGGUACACUCACAUACUGCUAGUGGAAU
rnacentral:lncRNA from 1 species